AAUAACUUUUAAAAACAAGGCUCUGCUUCUGAAGUUUUAGAAAAACAAGGCUCUGCUUCUGAAGUUUUAGAAAAACAAGGCUCUGCUUCUGAAGUUUUAGAAAAGGAUGUAUUUUUAUACUUUUUUCAUUUGAUUAUACUUUUUUAUUUUUGUAACUGAAUUCCAAUAUGUUCUGAAACAAUCUUUUAGUUAGUUUAUGUAUAGGACACAAAUAUGCAUCAAAAUUUAUCAAGUUAAAUUGAUGGACAUUUUUUCGAAAGAAAUGAGUUAGACAACUGAUAGGAUGGAGACCCAUCCACUUAUAUGCGCUUUAAUUCUAAAAAAUUUGAUUGAAGAAAAAUGAAAAUCUUUUUUGUUGUUGCCUUGGUGAUGAUAUCAACUUAGUUGCGUGCUGAUCAGUUGCUGGAUGAAUUAAAGCUCUCAUAGUUCCCUAAAUCAGUAAUGUAUCAUCAGUUGCAUCUAAUGCUAAAAUUGAUGCACAUAAAGCUGUGAAAAUAAAAGCUUUAACUUCAGGACCAUCAAGAGAAGAGUUUAAACAUUAACUGAAGAGAUAUUUUUUGCUUUUUGGGGAUCGAAAUGGCGGACGAAUAGCUCGAGAGGAACGUUCUUUGUAUAAAAAGUUAUUUGCAUAAAUAACAAUUUGAACUUUUAA